rnacentral:rRNA from 1 species
GCAAUAGUGUGCACUUUUCUCUUAGUAAGACGUUGUGAUCCAUUAGGAAUAGAUGUGNUUCGCGCUCAUCAAUAAGCCACCAAUAGGCUGGCACUGAAGUUCACUCUGACAAACAACUAGAUCUUUUGGUUUGGUAUAUUGUCUUGUGAGCGUGCUAUGUCUGAUGUGGCUGCCUGAUGGAUUUUAAAGGUCAUAUCAUUGAUGCUUGCAUCACCCGCNCAAAAGGCGGGCUAUCGGAUAUGUGCCCGAUCAACAACGGUUUCAUUUGGGAUACCUUUGGGACCCGUCUUGAAACACGGACCAAGGAGUCUAUCUAGUAUGCGAGUAAAUGGGAUUCGAGCGAAACCUAUUUGCGUAAAUAACUUGACUGUAAUUUAAUGGGAUUACGUGUAUGUCCACGCAAGUGCAUGCACCUCCAUCCCGGAGUAUUUUCAUCACAUUAGUUGGCCUCUCGCGGGGUUAACUUAUAGAAAAUAUAUCAUGAGCAUACUGGACAUGACCCGAAAGAUGGUGAACUAUGCCUGAUCAGGUUGAAGUCAGGGGAAACCCUGAUGGAGGACCGAAGCAAUUCUGACGUGCAAAUCGAUUGUCAGAAUUGGGCA